CCUGUUAUUAUAGGCUUUGGGUAGAUGAUUAGGCAGGUGAUCUGUUUAGUUCAGGUGAAGUUAAGAAGGCACCUUUGUGAUGAAAUUGGGAUGCAACCUCAAGAAUGCUUUAUGCCUAUGAAACACCAUGUAAGGAAGAUUUGCCAUAAAGGACCCAAGCUCACCCACUCUCCCAGUAGAGAUUAUUGCAGUUAGGAAGGUAAAUUUCAUAGACAAACAUAAGAGGGAGCAAGAGGCGAAGGGCUUGAAUGGCAGGUUCACAAGAGCUGAUACCACCAAGUUCAGGUCCCAGAUAGGAGCAAGUUUUAAUAGCGGUGGGAAUGUUCUGAUAAUGCCUUUUAGAAACUUCACUGCUGGGGAUAGUGGAAAACCAAGCAGUUAUCCACUGGAGGAUGAAAGACAUUAAUAGCUGAAAAAUGUACAUGCCGUGAAUGGAUGGAUAGGCCCAAUUUCUUCAAGGAGAGAAGACAGCACAGGAUAAGAGGGAUCCCAGAUUCCUUGUGGGGGUAAGUGAUGUUGCUGACACCAAAUGGAGAAUUGCUUCCAUUUGGCAGCAAUACAUAUCCAUGUUUCCUGAUAUUAUUAAGGAUAAACUGGACCUCUUGUGAGCACAAUCUCUCUAAAUUCAUUGUCCAUCCAGAAACCAGGCUACCAGAUGGAGGGACACCAGGUUGUGAUGAACGGUCCUGCUUCUAUUCUAACACAGGAGACCCAGAUGUGCCACUCCCCCCGACCCAUUUCUGCAAACACAGAGCUGCCCAGCUCGGAGGCUGCGUCUGGGGCUCCACUGACUCUGCAGCUGAAUGCAGCACUAUCAAUAGGGUGAGUGACAUCAGGACACUCUGUGGAAGUGUGACCUGUGUUUCCAGGAAGUUCCUGCUCAGAGCAUAGACCAUCCACAACAGUGCCUGGAGGCAUGGAUUUAUCUGAAGUCCCAAGCAGUGAAAGAGGUUGAGUAAAGAGGUAACACUGCUGCCUGCACUUCCUGAUACAACUGCCCCAUGAGGAGCCAAUUGUCCAGACAGGAAAUAUUGGGCUGCCUCGUUGACACAGGUUGUUCCCCUCAAAAGAGAGGUCUUCUACCUCCUUGGAGAAUCCUGAAGACUGCAACCAAGAAGCUUGCCUUAUAACCACCAAGGUUGUCAGGGAGCCGGUGCACUACAUCAAGUGACAUCUGGAGCGAUGAUCUGGCAACCAGUUUCCUUUCGUACAGGAUUGCCUGGAAUUGUGGCCUACAUUUCUGUGGCAGUUUAUCAGCUAAUUCUGGCAGUUUAUGCUAAUUAAUAAAAUCAUGUUUCAACAUGAAUGUCUGGUAAUUGCUAUGUGGAAUAGUAGGCUGGCUGAUGAAAAGUUCUUUCUGCUGAGGAGAUCUAGUCUCUUUCCACCUUUAUCUGAAGGGGUGGAUC